UUUCGAAAUACAGUUUUGAAAUAUUAUUUGCUUAUCUUAUUUAUAAGGUUAGCAGAAUUUCUGAAGUAAGAGAGUAUAGAUUAUGACUAAAAUUUAAUUAGCACGCUAAAGCUAUUUUUAAAUAGAAGUAUAAAUGUAAAAUGGAAAGGAAUCCUGUUUAAAAUUAUACAUAAUUACCUCAUAAACCUACUCCCUCUACAACCAAUCAAAAUAAUAAUAUUCUGUAAUAAAAUGAUGUAUAACAUUGAUGUUCUCUUUUGUGGAGAAUAGGCCUUUUUAAUCUCAUUUGACACUGUACUUCUCAUUUCCAGUUGGACAGGAUGAGAAUAUUUCGGGCCAGUCAUUUCCUGUUUGAGUACAUAAACAGUUCACCAUCUAAAAGAAGAAUAUACAGUUUUAACUUGCUGAUGCAGAAAUAAUUGAUAAUUUAUCUUUCAGUGUAAUACACAGAUAUGCACACAGUAUGUAUUAUAUAGUUUCAUAUACAUUAAAAUCCCAAACUACUUUUUAGUAUGCAUUAAUUUUCCCUUUGUCUAGGUUCAUUUUAGGUUAGUCUUAAACUAAUACUUUUCUUGAUUUUUCAAAGUACAGUUUUAUUGAACAUUCUUAUCCACUGCCAGUUUGCAUUCUUUUACAUUAAAAAUAUUCUUUAUAAUGAAUUAGUAUGAUUUUGAAUAAACCACCCAAGAAAUAUGAAUAAGUUCUUAGAAUUUAUGACAAUAUAAACUUCUUACAUAAGAGGAAGCACUAGAAGUUUAUUUUAAAAACUUCUUGAUCCAUAUCUGCCUUCUGUUUUCUAUAGGACUUCUUAAUGUUUUUUACUUUUGCUUUUCUUGCUGCAUAAAUUAUAUCCAGUGAUAGUUUAAAGAGUAAAAUUAAAGUGCCGGCAAGGUGGCAUUACACAAAUUUUAACGUAUAAUACCUGGAAUCUUUUCCCUAAAUCAUUCUAUUUUGUCCCUGUUUUUCCUCCUCCAUGAGAUCAGUUCACAAACAAUAAGCUUUUUAAAAAUUUAUGCUCAGGAUUGCUAUGAUCUUUGUAAAGAAUUUUGCUUAUCUUAAAUACUCUGUCAAGCAAAUAUUUAUAUUUAACCUAUUUGCAAGAGAAAAUCUUGGCAGUUUUAAUCACCCAUAACUAUAACUUUAAUAAAGUAUAAUGACUAUGAAAAACAAGUUUCUCCUUAACUGUCCUAAUAAUAUAUUAUUUAUAGUAUGACCAGGCCUUCCAAAGGUUGUAAAUCUUAACAAAGCCAAAUAGAGUUUAACCCAUGUGAAUGAGUUUAUGUGUAUAUGUUUAUAUGUGCUGGUGUAUGUGUUUAUGUACACAGAUAAAAAGUUCAAGAAAUAAAUACAUUUCUUUUAUGGCCAGCCUUCUUUUGAGCCAGUACCACCGAGAUAAGUCGAUCUUUGCUUAUUUUUCCAAAAUUGGAAAAUUUAAGAAGAUAAUAAAAACACUUAUCUAUAAUAUAUUAAUUUUGCACCUACUCAAAAUUUAUUAGUUUAUAUAUGCCAAUUAUAAAGACGUUAUGGUGUUUAAGAACAGUCAUUAGGUGCUACAGGUAUAGGUCAGUGGUAGAGUACACAUACACAAGGCCCUGGGUUCAGUCCCCAUCAAAGACUACAUUUCAGGGCCAGGGAUUUAGCUCAGUGGUUCCGCCGCCUGCCUCACAACCACAAGGUCCCAAGUUCGAUCCCUGGUACCAAAAAAAAAAAAAAUUCAUAGUUCAUAAUUACAUAAAAUUAUUUGCUGGGGAAUAUAUUAAUAGUGGUUCUGGAUGAUGAGACUUUGGAGUUUUUAUUUUUCUUUUAUGUAUUUUUUUCAAUCAUGAGCAUUUUAUUUCUAAAACCAGAAAAAGAAAAUUAUAAAAAGUUUUUUAAAGAUUUAAAAUUACAUUAAAAGCACUAACAUAUAAUAACUUUACUAAAAUCACUUUUAUUACCAAAGAUCAGAAUAUAUUUUGGAGUCCUUUGGUCUACCAGUUCUCGUUAUUCAAGUAUGUGAUUUGGUAAAGCUAAAAAUAAUUAUGCCCCCUUUUUUCUUUUUUUUUUGUAGUAUAAUAGUACGAUGGUUAAGCACAUGGACUUUGUGGUUAACUCAGUUCUAACCCUAUAAAAUGGGGCCAGUCUACUGCCUCAUGGAGUUGCUGUAUUUAAUAAAAUAUUAUUCACUGAGCAUGUAGUAAUUAACGACAUAACUACCUAACAGCUUAAGUAAUAAUGGUAAUAAUUUGUGGCCACAGGCUUGCAGGGCUUGACAUUUCCUUUGCAAUUGCACUUUCUAAAAGAAAACAUUUCUCUACCAACUAUUUGAUGGUAGUAUUCUGUGUAGAGUUGGGGUUUAAGAAGAGAAAGAUACUUUUAUAAUAAAACACAUUGUUAUUCUAUAAACUGUUGUAAAGAAGCAUACCUACAGUUGUAUAAAAUUUUUUAAAAGCCCUUCUAGAACUAUGAGUAACAGACUUGCUUCAAAGACCGUUUAGUCACACUUGUAUUCACCUUAAACCACAGUCUACAACGUGUGCUCAACAGCUUGCACCCAAAUAGCAUCUUGGGGUUUUUGGUACUGAGCAUUGAACUCGGGACUUUGCGCUUGCAAGGCAGGCACCAGUACCACUGAGCUAAAUCCCCGAUCCCCAAAUAGUGUCUUAACCGAAAAGAUUCACUGUGAUGGUGCUUUAUAGGAUCUCCAAAGUGCUUUCCUAGGUACUGCCUAAAUCGAGCUUCAGAUUACCCUUGUAAUCCAGACAGGUAGCUGUUGUGUCCACUGUGGGAGUGAGGACACAGCUUUAGAGUGGGUGGCAUGUCUGGAGAUCAGAGAGCUCCCAGGAUGAGGCUGAUGCCCAGAGCAGGGCCUGGAGCCAGUAGAUACUUAGUGCUGACAAGUGACUGAAGGGUGGGAAGUGAAUGUCAAGUUGCUCAUCAGGCAGUGUCUUAAUUCCUGGUUCUACUACAAAAUACAGAGUAGAAAGUCUGCUAAAGGAAGAGUUCUACUAUAGACAUUUUAAGCCUUCAAAUAAAGGAAUAAGAGUACUAGCCCUAUUCAUUGAGGUCUUACUAUUUUGCCAGUGCUUUGUGUGUGUUAACUCAUUUCAUCUUCACACAGCCUCACGAGUGAGGUAUCAUGUUCCCUUAGUUGACUGAUGAGCAAGCUGAACAGAGCAGUAAACAUAAUCAAGGUCACACAUUUAGGCAGUGGCAGAGCUGUUAUGUGAGUCUGCUCAUCUACUUGCUGUAUUGCCUCUCAGAGUCCUUUUUCUUUUAAACAUAAAUCUUUCAUAGUUUUAUGUAGUUAACUCUUCAAAGAACCCAAAAGUUAUAACUUUUCAUUAUAUAUUCUCAUUCAGGCCUUGGAAUUGUCUGUAUAGUUGUUUCCCAAAAGAUUUUGUGUACCACUCUCCCUUCAUUUCAGAUAUGCACAGUUUUUCUUAGCAAGUGGAUGUAAUAAAGGAACUCCUGUGUUCCAUCCUUGCUGUUUCAGUUGAUCUUCAUUGGCACUUGAGACUUUGUUGUAAAGAACAACUAAAUUCUAAGCAUAAGACUGUCUCAAAUCGUGAGUUUAUUCCUGUCUAAGAAAAUUUUGUUUCAUUAGCUAAAGGAAGCUUAGAAAUAUAAAGUCUUCUGCUUUCUUCCAGCAUAAAUAAUGCUGGUAUGUAGACCACCCUACAGUAAAGUUUCUGCCAGGGUCAAGCAAUUAUUCCAGCAUUAGAUACUAUUAAAAGGAAUGAGGCAAAAUCGUGCAUACCGGUGAUUAUGACUCAUGAUUGUCCUUAACAGAAUGCAAACAUCUUUUCAUUAUUAGUUUGCUAGUUAAGCAGUAGUGUGGUGCAGUAAGGAAUUUAUCGAUUUUGUUAUAAAAUCCCAUUCUAAAAUUCAUAAGGAAAUGUACUUAAGAAAUUGAUAGUAGUGUCACACUUUAAAAGUAAUCACCCAAAUUGCUUUUCCACCUGUUGCACAUAGUUUAUUUAAAUGAAGAAUUAGCACUAGUCUUAAGUCUCUGUUUUGUCCUGUAUAAUUCAAAGUUUGCUUUUCUUCCAUUUCUUCACAAUAGGGUAACAGAAAGAAUAAUAUUAAAAGUUAGAGACUUGAAUAAUUACCUGUUAAGUAUUCUGUGACUAACAAACGCUGGCUUUUGCAUAUAGUGGACCUGCAUCUGAGACUGGCUGCCUGGCUUUCCAGUGGGCAAGUCUGAAUGGAGAGCCUGGGUAAAGAGGCAGCUCUCCUCAGCUUUCCUGAUACAACCCUUCUGUUUUGUAGUGUGCUGGUUUUUUGGUUUAGUCACUCAAAGGUUAGAGUUGAAGAGUUAAAGCCCUAGGCACUUGUGGAAUGUUUGCCUAGUCUAGUUAUUCAUCGUUUGGUGUGUCCCUCUUCCUCCCUGGCUUGUGGCUGUCAAGUAUACCAAAGGAUAUUUUGUUCUGUUGAAAGCCUCAGGAGUAAAAGGAAAGUGUUGCAAGCAUUCCCAAACAUACUUCCACCUGUCCAGUGGUGGUGAACCUGUGGCACACCACAGCAGGCUGUUUGUUAUCAUUGAAGGCUCUAAGAGGUUCGCCAUCACUGACAUCAGUGUUAAAUUAAAAAGCACUAACCAAGCACAAGUGAGCCCUAAACAGCCUUAUGAGUUUCUUCCUCUUUAAGCAGCAAUUUAAAGGCCUGGUCAUGAAAUAGAGAGUUAAGGAAAAUUGUCAGAUAUAUAUUUUUAAACAGUGAAAAUGUAAAGGGUAGUGUGAACAAACAUAGUUUACUCCCUUUUAAUUUUAAUGUCCUUGGUUACAUAUUUCCAUAUGAAAGUGAAAAGAGAACUAUGCUAAGGAGUAGAGAAGAAAAUCAGCUCUGAUUUAAAUAUGACCAGUUUAAACAGAAUUUUUGUUAUUUCCUUUACCAAAUUUGUGCUGUGCUCAUGAGAAAUAUAUAGUGAAGUAAACAAGACAAACCAUUAGUUGAUCGAUUAUGCUUACGAACAGUAAAAAUAGACAAGUCCCUCAUUGCCAUGUAACUUCUAUUUUUAAAAUUUGUAGUCAUUAUCCUUAGUUCUACCAGAAACACUAGCCAGUUUUGUUUGUAUUGAGUUGAAGGUAUUGCUCAUGAAUGCCUGAUACUUAUCAUUGCAGUUUACCUCCAAAAAUUAAACUGUCACUUCCUCUCCUCACCUCAGGGUUCCCUCUUUAAAAACUAGUAGUUUCUCCAAAAGUUUUGGUGAGUUACAUAAGCAACCAUAGACAAUGAAAGAAUGAUUUUGUAGAAUAAUUUUUUUCUAGAAUUCCUAAUCAGUUUUCAGAGAGGGAGAACAAUACCCUGUGUGACUUCAAAUUAAUUUUCUCUACUUUGAGGUGUAACUUCCUGAUUAUAUUUUACAAAGCCUAUUAUUUUAAAAAAAAGUUUAAAAGCCUCUUGCUAGGAUGUAUCGAGAGCCAGUUUAUAAAGCUUGUUAUUGCUGCCUCAACUUUACAUGUGAGUUGUAGACAGAAUCAAAGUUUGCUGUGUAAUUGAGAUUCACCUAUAUUUCAAAUUACAACAUUUCAUAAAUAUAUGUCACAUUAUAGAGAUGGAGACUCUUCCUGAUCUUUUGUGUGAAUAAUUUGUGGUUUUAUUUCUGAAACUAGAGUUGAUCUGUGCUGAUUUCAUACCUAUCAUUCCAAAGAUCUGAUUAUAUUUAUUUUCUUUGGUAAUUAAAAAUGCAAUGAAAAUCUAAUUUCAAAGUCAGAUAUUGAUAUUUCUAGACAUGGUCUAGUUCUAUAAGAAUUUACUUGUGAAUUUUAAGUAUUUGAUGUAGAUAGAUUAAUAUAUUUUCAUAGAACACUUUUUCUAAACUUAUUUCAGGACUGUAUUAGUCGCUUUUUUCAGGUGUAUGUGGUAACUGUUUGGAAUGAGAGUGCAGUGCCUUCACCAACUCAAAAAUGAUGUAAUACAUGUGAUAUCAUAGAAGGCCGAAUGUGUUUAUACUGUACAUGGAAACCUAAUGCCUCUUUUCUAAAGCUUUGUACUUUUUCCAUGAAAUAAAUAUUUUCUCCUGAAGCCAUAUUUCUGUUUCAAUAUGCUUUCUCUUUUAAAUAUAUCAUGAGAUGAUUUUACUACUUGGAAACCAGCAAGCCGUGGUUUAUUUGAACUUUUGGGAAAAUAAG
rnacentral:lncRNA from 1 species